rnacentral:rRNA from 1 species
UACGUAGGAGACUAGCGUUGUCCGGAAUUACUGGGCGUAAAGCGCGUGUAGGCGGAUGAGCAAGUCUGCUGUGAAAGCUCCUGGCUUAACCGGGAGUGGUCGGUGGAAACUGCUCGUCUGGAGGACGGUAGAGGUAGGUAGAAUUCCCGGUGUAGUGGUGAAAUGCGUAGAGAUCGGGAGGAAUACCUGUGGCGAAGGCGGCCUACUGGGCCGGACCUGACGCUGAGACGCGAAGGCGUGGGGAGCGAACGGG